GAGAAGAAUCCAGAAGACUGAGUCACAGGGGAAAUACGCCACGGUGGAGCUUAAAACGGUUCCUCUCAGAACCCGACCACCAUUCAUCAUUGGGAGCGGCGAUGAAUCGACCAAAAGCCCCGUCGGAUGUUUCUGAGGCGGCUCUGACGGAGGAGGCCUUUUUUCCAGCUGAAGACCGGGUGAGUGCAUCAGGACUCUGAGUGUGUAGACUUUGUAAACUGUGUUCUAACGCACACACACACACACACAC
ensembl:lncRNA